ensembl:lncRNA
CAUGCAUCUUGGCAUCAUGUUCUCCUCCACCAGUCUUACACUCUGCUUUUGGAUAACCUUAUGCUGCUUUACUCCUGUUGCAAAAAUUCAAGCAGUUCAGUUUGGUUUGAUGGCUUGUAGUCAUCCGUCUUCCUCUUGAUUAUAUAGUUAUAUAGAGGUUAGCAAUUUGGUAAAAUCAAAGAAAAUCAUAAUUUUAAGUGGUUUCUUAUUUUUUUCCCACAGCUAUAGCUGACCUACUAUUAUAAUAACAAGGAGUCAGUGUGUAUUUUUGGCUGUGAUCAAACUUGUAACAGUUUUUUCUGAGGACAUGUUUCAUUUAUUUCAAGGAUAUGUGCAAAUAUGUUACAUAAGUUGCUGUGAGAAGUAACAUUAUUAUCACUUACCUUAUCAUUCUGUACACUGCUGAUUAAUCUUUUUCUGAAGGUUGGGGUAGAACCGCAGGAAUCAACCACUCCAACAGAAGAUGUCAGGUUUUACCCGAGUUCUGUAUCAGGAUCACUGCCAGAAACGCCAGCGGUGGUCACGUCUCAGGAGCAACAUGUUGAGACCAGGUCACGCUUAGAUGUUGAGAGUGCUGAACGUGCCAUUCCAAUGUCAGAUCAUGUGAGGAGAAAGGAGCAUAUCUAUGAGAACCCAGCAUUCGAAGAAGAACAGCAGAACAAUGACCAUCCUAUACAUCAAGUUUAAUAUAAUAAUCAAUACAUAUUUAUGGAUAACAAUGAAUUUCCUGGAACACCAAUAAGGAAUAACUCUUAGUAAGACAAUCUCUUAAAUUGGGGUAUAAUACUUAAUAGCAAAAAAGAGCUCAGACUGUAGUGUGUAUGAGAAAAAAUACACAUUAGAGCCCUUAAAAGGUAUAGUAGGUGAUUUGCCUGAAAAAAAAACUUUUUUUUUUUUUUACUUCACUGAGAUGGAAAGGUUGUGGGUUUGAGACCCUUUAGCACGAUAUCACUGUGUGUCUUCCGGGUGUGUGUUAGUGUGUUCACUGCACAGAUGGGUUAAAGGCGGAGGCAAAAGUCCAUCUGUGCCCAGCACAGGUAUGGUGUACAUAAGUGUAUUGUCUUGUCCUGUCUUAAGUCUAAUUCUCUAAUGACAAAAAGAAUAUGAAUCAAUUUUUUACAGAGGCCACAUGACUGUUUAAACUCACACACACUUGCCUGAAUACCAGCCUACCUCACGACCCCACACUCAGGCAAGUGCUGUAGAUGUGUACUGCAGAGUCCAUUAAAAAGACUUAAACACAAAAACACCAUUGUGGUUUAGGAAUUAGUGUCACCAGCUAAGGGUGGAGUAACCUGUACCCUGGAAAGUGAUGCUGUUGAGCAGGUAAAUAGCAGUUUUGUCUUGUUUAUGGUGAAAUUUGUCAUUUUCCUGAAUGAUUUAGCCAACAUAGCUAAGGUGUUUAUAUCUUUCUGGUAUAAAUCAGCUUCUCACUGCAUCUGUGUGGACUGGUGUUAGCUUCCCUGCUAGGCUAACUUCCUUGCUAGCUCAUGCUCACAUUUUAAGAGUUGGUUUUGCCAUUUUACAGUCAAGUCUGUGUCUCAUGUGGACAGACAGUAAAAAAAACCUACAUUAUUAAAAACACAGCUACAUGUGUAGAGAGUUUAAAUGGUACCACUUUAAAAUAAGACUACCUUUAUAACGGGCUUAUAAAUGGUUUACAAUUAGUUUAUUAAUAGUUACUAAU